UGCCUUAACUGAUAAGACAGUCACCUGUCCUCCUGCUCUUUGCUCUGUGAGAAAGAUCCACCUACAACCUCGGGUCCUCAGACCAACCAGCUCCAGGAACAUCUCACCAAUUUUAAAUUGGAUUCCCAGCCUUAUGAAGACACCCUAUCUGGACGAUCAGUUCUUGUUAAGAAUCUGACCCCUCAAACUCUACAACCUCGACGGACCGGACCCUACUUAGUCAUCUAUAAUACCCUAACUGCCGUCCUCCUGCAGGACCCUCCCCAUUGGGUUCACCGUUCCAGAAUAAAGCCGUGUCCAUUGGACAGCCAGCCUGAUCUCUCCUCUUCCUUCUGGAAGUCGCGAGUACUCACCCCUACUUCCCUUAAACUCACCCACAUUUCUGAAGAACAGUAGUAACCCUUAUGAGCCUAAUACAUCCCUUCAUUUUGUUAGGUCUAUCCUUCCUUACCAGAGUCUUUGCAACAGGGCCUUAUGCAGUCACCCCCACUACUUAGACUGCAUCCCAAAAACUUUUCAUCCCUGCUCUCUUCUGUCUAGUCAUACUCCUAUUCUUCGUUUUCACCUCUCCAUACAUGCCCUGCCCUUGUCUACACUGCCAGCUUAUACUUUUCCUCCAAACCAUCAUAGCUGGUCCUGGUCUUAUCCCCUAACUGCCACUCUUAACUCCCUCUUGGAAUGGAUAAAUGGCCUUUGCUGGAAAAGCACACUCCACUUCUUUCACCCAUUUUACAUUUCCAGUUUCGCCUUACGCAAGGUCUCUUCUUCCUCUGUGGCUCCUCCACCUGCAUGUGUCCACCUGUUAAUGAGACAGGAACAUGUACACUAGUUUUCCUUACCCCAAAAAUCAAUUUGCAAAUAAGACCGAGCAGCUUCCUGUUCCCCUCAUGACACCAACACUUCACUAUUAUUUUAUUUUUUCUUAUUAUUAAUAUAAGAAGACAGGAAUAGGCCUUGACUUACUCACUGCUGAAAAAGGAAGACUCUGUAUAUUUUUAAAUGAAGACUGUUGUUUUUACCUAAAUCAGUCUGGCCUGGUAUAUGACAACAUAAAAAAAUUCAAGGAUAGAGGCCAAAAACUCACCAGCCAAGCAAAUAAUCAUGCUGAACCCCCUUAGGCACUCUCUAAUUUGAAGUCCUGGGUCCUCCCAAUUCUUAGUCCUUUAAUACUUGUUUUUCUCCUUUUCUUAUUCGGACCUUAUGUCUUCUGUUUAGUUUCUCAGUUCAUACAAAACCAUAUCCAGGCCAUCACCAAUCAUCCUAUAUGACAAAUGCUCCUUCUAACAACCCCAGAAUAUCACCCCUUACCACAAAAUCUUCCUUCCUCUUAAUCUCUCCCACUCUAGGUUCCCAUGCCACCCCUAAUCCUGCUCGAAGCAGCCCUGAGAAACAUCACCCAUUAUCUCUCCAUACCACCCCCCAAAAUUUUCCCCACCCCAACACUUCACCACUGUUUGUUUUUCUUAU
ensembl:lncRNA novel transcript